rnacentral:piRNA from 1 species
UGUGUUUGAUACCCUGAGAAGCC